AUCCAGCUGACGAGUCCCAAAUUGGACGAAAAGCGCGUCCUGGAU
rfam:Schistosoma margrebowiei strain Zambia genome assembly, scaffold: SMRZ_contig0005799